rnacentral:rRNA from 1 species
UACAGAGGGUGCAAGCGUUAAUCGGAAUUACUGGGCGUAAAGGGUGCGUAGGUGGUUAAGUAAGUUGGAUGUGAAAUCCCCGGGCUCAACCUGGGACCUGCAUACAAAACUGCUUAGCUAGAGUAAGGUAGAGGGAAGUGGAAUUCCUGGUGUAGCGGUGAAAUGCGCAGAUAUCAGGAGGAACACCGGUGGCGAAGGCGGAUCUCUGGGCCUGUUCUGACGCUGAGGCGCGAAAGCUAGGGGAGCGAACAGG